rnacentral:rRNA from 2 species
AUUUGAAUAUCAGCGGCGGACGGGUGAGUAACACGUGGGCAACCUGCCUGUAAGACUGGGAUAACUUCGGGAAACCGGAGCUAAUACCGGAUAAUCCUUUCCCUCACAUGAGGGAAAGCUGAAAGACGGUUUCGGCUGUCACUUACAGAUGGGCCCGCGGCGCAUUAGCUAGUUGGUGAGGUAACGGCUCACCAAGGCAACGAUGCGUAGCCGACCUGAGAGGGUGAUCGGCCACACUGGGACUGAGACACGGCCCAGACUCCUACGGGAGGCAGCAGUAGGGAAUCUUCCGCAAUGGACGAAAGUCUGACGGAGCAACGCCGCGUGAACGAUGAAGGCUUUCGGGUCGUAAAGUUCUGUUGUUAGGGAAGAACAAGUACCGGAGUAACUGCCGGUACCUUGACGGUACCUAACCAGAAAGCCACGGCUAACUACGUGCCAGCAGCCGCGGUAAUACGUAAGUGGCAAGCGUUGUCCGGGAAUUAUUGGGCGUAAAGCGC